rnacentral:rRNA from 1 species
CCGCUCAGAGGUAAACGGGUGUAGUCAAGCUGCAAGCCUCGGGGAUUCAGCUGGUCAGUAUGGCGUGAGCCUGGGCACAUCGGAUGUCUGGGGAAGUCCGUUUAGUUGACGGGCCUGGCUCUUUUCGGAGAGUCGGGUGGGCGUNACGUUUACACACGUUGUCCGCUUCCCCUACGUACGGUCCGGCUGGCCGGUGCAUUUCCUCGGGGCGUAAACCACGACCGCCGUCGCUGUCGGUCUGCUGUAGUUAAACCGGUUGAGCGGGGUCCUAGUGGCUUCGUUUGGUCGGGACGGCAGGUAGCCUGGCGGGCGCUUCGGCGUUUGCUGGGUGUAACCAAGCUGACUAUAGUGGUACUAGUAACUGUGCAGUACGGUGGAGAUUGCGGCUUUGGUGUNGGCGGUCGCGCCUAAGUGCGUCGGCGUGAUGCGGGUCUGGUGACUUGUAGCUUGCGCAAGCAGGCCUGGUUGCGGCCCCGUUACGGCAUGGCGUGCGGUGGCGUCCGUUCACCUUCAUUAGUGCCAACAGUCUGUGGUGUA